rnacentral:lncRNA from 1 species
CUCGUGAAAUUUUCAAUACGAAUUUACGGAAACGAAUAAAGAUGGCAGGUAGAACGUUUGGGAAAACCUCGUGUCAGUUCUCUAAACAAAUUAUAUCUUACUUAAAGCAAAAUUCAUUUAAAUCAACAGUAUCUUUACAAUCAAUUACGUCUCGGUCAUUGGCUAAAAGAUCUUUAUCACAAUUUUUGCCAAGCUUUCAAGCUCAAAUGGUAAUAAAGUAUGACAUGUUAUCAGCCUCAACAUCAGGACUAGGUAUGUAGAUGUUAAAAAGUG